rnacentral:rRNA from 1 species
GAUGAACGCUGGCGGCGUGCUUAACACAUGCAAGUCGAACGGAAAGGCCCAAGCUUGCCUGGGUACUCGAGUGGCGAACGGGUGAGUAACACGUGGGUGAUCUGCCCUGCACUUCGGGAUAAGCUCGGGAAACUGGGUCUAAUACCGGAUAGGACCUCCUCUUGGAUGUUGGGGUGGAGAGUUUUUUCGGUGUGGGGUGGGCUCGCGGCCUAUCAGCUUGUUGGUGGGGUAAUGGCCUACCAAGGCGUCGGCGGGUAGCCGGCCUGGGAGGGUGUACGGCCACAUUGGGACUGAGGUACGGCCCAGACUCCUACGGGGGGCAGGAGUGGGGAAUAUUGCACAAUGGGCGCGAGCCUGAUGCAGCGACGCCGCGUGGGGGAUGACGGCCUUCGGGUUGUAAACUCCUUUCGCUAGGGACGAAGCGUUGUGUGACGGUACCUGGAGAAGAAGCACCGGCUAACUACGUG